rnacentral:rRNA from 1 species
GAACGCUGGCGGCGUGCUUAACACAUGCAAGUCGAACGGAAAGGCCCUGCUUUUGUGGGGUGCUCGAGUGGCGAACGGGUGAGUAACACGUGAGUAACCUGCCCUUGACUUUGGGAUAACUUCAGGAAACUGGGGCUAAUACCGGAUAGGAGCUCCUGCUGCAUGGUGGGGGUUGGAAAGUUUCGGCGGUUGGGGAUGGACUCGCGGCUUAUCAGCUUGUUGGUGGGGUAGUGGCUUACCAAGGCUUUGACGGGUAGCCGGCCUGAGAGGGUGACCGGCCACAUUGGGACUGAGAUACGGCCCAGACUCCUACGGGAGGCAGCAGUGGGGAAUAUUGCACAAUGGGCGGAAGCCUGAUGCAGCAACGCCGCGUGCGGGAUGACGGCCUUCGGGUUGUAACCCGCUUUCGCCUGUGACGAAGCGUGAGUGACGGUAAUGGGUAAAGAAGCACCGGCUAACUACGUG